GUCCAGACUCCUACGGGAGGCAGCAGUGGGGGAUAUUGCACAAUGGGGGAAACCCUGAUGCAGCGACGCCGCGUGAGUGAAGAAGUAUUUCAGUAUGUAAAGCUCUAUCAGCAGGGAAGAAAAUGACGGUACCUGACUAAGAAGCCCCGGCUAACUACGUGCCAGCAGCCGCGGUAAUACGUAGGGGGCAAGCGUUAUCCGGAUUUACUGGGUGUAAAGGGAGCGUAGACGGCAUGGCAAGUCAGAUGUGAAAGCCCGGGGCUCAACCCCGGGACUGCAUUUGAAACUGUCAGGCUGGAGUGCAGGAGAGGUAAGUGGAAUUCCUAGUGUAGCGGUGAAAUGCGUAGAUAUUAGGAGGAACACCAGUGGCGAAGGCGGCUUACUGGACUGUAACUGACGUUGAGGCUCGAAAGCGUGGGGAGCAAACAGGAUUAGAUACCCCAGUAUA
rnacentral:rRNA from 1 species